GAACGGAAGAGUAACACGUGGGUGACCUGCCCUCGGCUUCGGGAUAGCCCGGGGAAACCCGGAUUAAUACCGAAUAGCCUCAUUGAUCUUCGGGUUGAUGAUAAAAGGUGCUUCGGCUUCUAGCCGAGGAUGGGCCCGCGCCCGAUUAGCUUGUUGGUGAGGUAAUGGCUCACCAAGGCUACGAUCGGUGGCUGGUCUGAAAGGACGAUCACCCUCACUGGGACUGACACACGGCCCACACUCCUACGGGAGGCAGCAGUGGGGAAUCUUGCUGAAUGGGCGAAAGCCUGACCCACCCACCCCGCGUGCGGAAGGAACGCCUUAUGGUUGUAAACCGCUUUCAGGAGGGACAAAUCCGCUCCGGUUAAUACCCCACAUGGUGACGGUACCUCCAGAAAAAUCCCCGGCUAACUACCUGCCAUCAGCCGCGGUAAUACGUAGGGGGCUAGCGUUGUCCGGAUUCAUUGGGCGUAAAGAGCGUGUAGGCUGUUCGAUAGGUCCCGUGUGAAAACUCGAGGCUCAACCUCGAGAGGUCGCCGGAAACCCUCGAGCUAGAGUCCGGAAUACGAGAGUGGA
rnacentral:rRNA from 1 species